rnacentral:lncRNA from 1 species
AAAAAUUUCAACAUAAACUUCCAAAUGAACAACAAACAAUACCUUCGCACAGGACAAUCAAAUCACGAUUUUAGACAUUGAGAGAAAUGUUAUGCACAAGACCUCCUAACGAACAAUAAUCAAACACAUAGACAAGGAAUUCGGGCAAAAUAAUCAGAAAAUCCACGUUUGACAAAAACGAAUAACAGCGAGAGUUAACAAAAUUUCAAUGAUAGAACUUACGAAUUUACCUCUCAAUCGAUGCAACGAAAAACUAGAAUUCUCAAUUCGGCCUAGUAACAAUUACGAAAACAAGCAAAAAGAAAAAGAACAACGAAGUAAAAGAAAGAAAGGGAAAAAAAGAAAGGAAAAGAAAAGAGGAAAAAGAAGAGAAACGAACGUGAAACUCAUUUUAAAAUUAAAUCAAAACUAACAAACUUUACCAAGCAGCAAAAUUUUUCCUUAAUGCAUAUGCAGAGACUCUAACAUAAGACCAACAAGUAUGCAUAAGCUUAACCAC